GAUGAACGCUGACAGAAUGCUUAACACAUGCAAGUCAACUGUGGCGGACGGGUGAGUAACGCGUAAAGAACUUGCCUCACAGUUAGGGACAACAUUUGGAAACGAAUGCUAAUACCUGAUACUGUGAGAGAGCUUUGCGUCCCAUUAGCUAGUUGGAGAGGUAACGGCUCACCAAGGCGAUGAUGGGUAGCCGGACUGAGAGGGUGAUCGGCCACAAGGGGACUGGGACACGGGCCGUACUCCUACGGGAGGCAGCAGUGAUGAAUAUUGGACGAUGGCCCAAAGUCUGAUCCAGCAAUUCGGUGUGCACGAUGAAGUUUUCGGAAAGUAAAGUGCUCUCAGUUGUGAAGCGGUACCAACAGAAGAAGUGACGGCUAACUCCGUGCCAGCAGCCGCGGUAAUAC
rnacentral:rRNA from 1 species